AACGAACGCUGGCGGCGUGCCUAACACAUGCAAGUCGAGCGGGAAAGUCCGCAAGGAUGAGUACAGCGGCGCACGGGUGCGUAACACGUGGGUAAUCUGCCCUGAAGCUCGGGAUAACUCGCCGAAAGGCGUGCUAAUAACGGAUAAGACGACGGGAGCCUCGGCUCCUGCGGGAAAAGGUGGCCUCUGCCUGAAAGCUCUCACUACAGGAUGAGCCCGCGGCCCAUCAGCUCGUUGGCGGGGUCACGGCCCACCAAGGCUACGACGGGUAGCUGGUCUGAAAGGACGAUCAGCCACACUGGAACUGAGACACGGUCCAGACUCCUACGGGAGGCAGCAGUGGGGAAUCUUGCGCAAUGGGCGAAAGCCUGACGCAGCAACGCCGCGUGUGUGAUGAAGGUCUUCGGAUCGUAAAGCACUGUCGGGAGGGACGAAUAAGGGCCGGGUGAACAAUCCGGUUCGAUGACGGUACCUCCAAAGGAAGCACCGGCUAACUCUGUGCCAGCAGCCGCAGUAAUAC
rnacentral:rRNA from 1 species